UACGUAGGGCGCCAGCGUUGUCCGGAAUUAUUGGGCGUAAAGAGCUCGUAGGCGGCUUGUCACGUCGAUUGUGAAAGCCCGAGGCUUAACCUCGGGUCUGCAGUCGAUACGGGCUAGUUAGAGUGUGGUAGGGGAGAUCGGAAUUCCUGGUGUAGCGGUGAAAUGCGCAGAUAUCAGGAGGAACACCGGUGGCGAAGGCGGAUCUCUGGGCCAUUACUGACGCUGAGGAGCGAAAGCGUGGGGAGCGAACAGG
rnacentral:rRNA from 1 species